rnacentral:rRNA from 1 species
AGUGAACGCUGGCGGCAGGCCUAAUACAUGCAAGUCGAACGGCAGCACAGCAGAGCUUGCUCUGUGGGUGGCGAGUGGCGGACGGGUGAGGAAUACGUGGGAAUCAGCCCAGUCGUGGGGGAUAACGUAGGGAAACUUACGCUAAUACCGCAUGCGCCCUUCGGGGGAAAGCCGGGGACCUUCGGGCCUGGCGCGAUUGGAUGAGCCCACGUCGGAUUAGCUAGUUGGCGGGGUAAAGGCCCACCAAGGCGACGAUCCGUAGCUGGUCUGAGAGGAUGAUCAGCCACACUGGAACUGAGACACGGUCCAGACUCCUACGGGAGGCAGCAGUAGGGAAUAUUGGACAAUGGGCGCAAGCCUGAUCCAGCCAUGCCGCGUGAGUGAAGAAGGCCCUCGGGUUGUAAAGCUCUUUUGUCCGGAAAGAAAGCGCCGGGUUAAUACCCUGGUGUCCUGACGGUACCGGAAGAAUAAGCACCGGCUAACUUCGUGCCAGCAGCCGCGGU